GCCCAGUGGCAGGAUGCGGGCUUACCGCAAGAGUUUUGCAGACCUUCCUUAAAAGGGAACACGGUCAAGGUCUUUCAGAGACCCCCAAGCCGAGGCUGUCCCUGCAACUGUGAGCGGCGAAUGCCCCUGUACCGGCGGACGGAAUCAUCCGGGCCGCAGCCACUGGACACAUCAUCCUGUCCGGGAAGGCCGUGCAAGGGCGUGGUGACCCGCAAGCCAGGAGACCUGCCAGUGCCUGUCGCUCUUG
rnacentral:ncRNA from 2 species